rnacentral:rRNA from 1 species
UACGGAGGGGGCGAGCGUUGUUCGGAAUCACUGGGCGUAAAGCGCACGUAGGCGGAUUGUUAAGUCGGGGGUGAAAUCCUGAGGCUCAACCUCAGAACUGCCUUCGAUACUGGCAAUCUCGAGUCCGGAAGAGGUUGGUGGAACAGCUAGUGUAGAGGUGAAAUUCGUAGAUAUUCGCAAGAACACCAGUGGCGAAGGCGGCUCACUGGCUCGGUACUGACGCUGAGGUGCGAAAGCGUGGGGAGCAAACAGG